CAGAGUUAUCCAACUCCCAAACCCAUGUGAACUUAUCUCUUUGUUGCCUCGGCGCAAGCUACCCGGGACCUCGCGCCCCGGGCGGCCCGCCGGCGGACAAACCAAAACUCUUGUUGUCUUAGUUGAUUAUCUGAGUGUCUUAUUUAAUAAGUCA
rnacentral:misc_RNA from 1 species